AAGUCGUAACAAGGUUUCCGUAGGUGAACCUGCGGAAGGAUCAUUAUCGAAUAAACUUGAACAGGCUGUUGCUGGCCCUCCUCAUGGGGGGGAUUACGUGCACGCUUGUCUCAUCUUUGUUAUUUCUCCAACUGUGCACAUUUUGUAGAUCCUGGAUGGAGCUUUAUGAAUUUUCAUUCGAGUCGGGACUGCUGUGCUUCCUUUUUUUGUGAAGUCAGCUUUCCCCUUGCACCUUCCAGGUCUAUGUUAUUUUUUUUCACAACCUCUCAAAUGUGUUUAGAAUGUUGAAUCAGGAGCUUUGUGCACCUAUAUAAAUGAACUAUACAACUUUCAGCAACGGAUCUCUUGGCUCUCGCAUCGAUGAAGAACGCAGCGAAAUGCGAUAAGUAAUGUGAAUUGCAGAAUUCAGUGAAUCAUCGAAUCUUUGAACGCACCUCGCGCUCCUUGGUAUUCCGAGGAGCAUGCCUGUUUGAGUGUCAUUUGACUUAUCAACCGCAUCAGAUGUUUUGAUGUGGCUUGGACAUGGGGGUAUCUUUUGCUGGCUUUUUCUUUUACAGAAGGUCAGCUCCCCUGAAAUGUAUUAGUGGUGUCUGAGCUACUGCUAUAGGUGUGAUAAUUAUCUAUGCCUUUGGUAUACUGCAUGAACAGAUUGGACUGCUUAUAACAAACAAUUGAAUUUGACAAAUCUGACCUCAAAUCAGGUAGGACUACCCGCUGAACUUAAGCAUAUCAAUAAGCGGAGGAAAAGAAACUAACAAGGAUUCCCCUAGUAACUGCGAGUGAAGCGGGAAAAGCUCAAAUUUGUAAUCUGGCAGUUCUUGGGACUGUCCGAGUUGUAAUCUAGAGAAGUGCUACCUGUGCUGGACCGUGUAAAAGUCUCCUGGAAUGGAGCAUCACAGAGGGUGAGAAUCCCGUCUUUGACAUGGACUGCCUGUACGAUAUGGUGCGCUCUCGAAGAGUCGAGUUGUUUGGGAAUGCAGCUCAAAAUGGGUGGUAAAUGCCAUCUAAAGCUAAAUAUUGGCGAGAGACCGAUAGCGAACAAGUACCGUGAGGGAAAGAUGAAAAGAACUUUGGAAAGAGAGUUAAACAGUACGUGAAAUUGCUGAAAGGGAAACGCUUGAAGUCAGUCGCGUCGGCUAGAAAUCAACCUUGCUUCUGCUUGGUGUACUUUCUGGUUGAUGGGUCAGCAUCAAUUUUGACCAUUGGAUAAAGUCAUUGGGAAUGUGGCAUCUCAGGAUGUGUUAUAGCCCGUUGUCGCAUACUGUGGUUGGGAUUGAGGAACUCAGCACGCCGCAAGGCCGGGUUUCGACCACGUUCGUGCUUAGGAUGCUGGCAUAAUGGCUUUAAUCGACC
rnacentral:rRNA from 1 species